UACGAACUGUGCGAACGUUAUUCGGAAUCACUGGGCUUACAGGGUGCGUAGGCUGCGAUGCAAGUCAGGUGUGAAAGCCCACGGCUCAACCGUGGAACUGCGCUUGAAACUGCAUUGCUUGAGUGAGCUAGAGGUACACGGAACUUCCGGUGGAGCGGUGAAAUGUGUUGAUAUCGGAAGGAACACCAGAGGCGAAGGCGGUGUACUGGAGCUUGUCUGACGCUGAGGCACGAAAGCCAGGGGAGCAAACGGG
rnacentral:rRNA from 1 species